UUUCACGUCUUCGCCCCAGUACUGUUGCGCCUCCGACAUCCUGUAGCAGUUCCGAUACUCUCCCCGACUGUCAAUGUCGGAGGAAACUUGUAAGCAUGGUUUCACUGUGGAUUCACGGAUUCCGAUAUAACACCUCACACGCGGAUCCAAUCGAUGCUUGCGACUUCUCUCGUUUGGAGUCGGCAAUUAUUCUUCCGUGUUUCGAAACUGUAGCAAAUCCGAUAUUCACCAGCCCGAGCCCUGACGAGAAUCGGAAGCUCGAUGUGCGGUUUUUUCUCCAAUUUUGUUACGUUUGAGCCGGCGCUUCUUGCCUCACUUCUGGGCACUCCGAGGAUUAGGGUUGUAGGGUUGCUCGCAGAUAUGGUGAGUCUGGCACGCUUCCAAGCACGGACGUCGAGGUUGAUUUGGAAAUGGUGAGAAGAAGUGAAUGCAUGAACCAGUAAACAACCCGGUGGUUAGAACUUUGCUUUGACGUACUUUUGUGCUGUGGGCAAGAGUUGGAGGACGGGGUCACAAGAUUGUUGCAUCAACGGGGUCAACACACUAAGGACAGGGGAUGAGUGUCGAAGGAGGAUAGAUACGGUUACGAAAUCGUUGAAGACAAUAAAUCAGGUUUGUGAGAACAAGAACAAGGAGUUCAGGCAGUUGACGCCAGAGGACUUCAGAGACAGGAAGCUGGCUGCUCAGAUUACAGAAAGUCUGUACGAUUGUUUACUCGAGUAUUGCCGACCCAGAUCAAAUAAGAGGAUGAGGAACCAAGGAGGUGGAAAUCCCGUAGAGAACGGGGUUACGUUUGUGUCUGGUUCGUCAACGUCCGAGUCUACAGACUUCGUGAUAACAAGUGAUGAAGCCAGCCAGAGUGAGACACCACUGAGGGCAAAUGCAGUUGUGGUACGUUUCCUGUACAAUGCUAUGGUAUUGAAGAUGAUGCUGUGCAUGCUUGUGUGGAUGAUUACAUGCCAGGGCAUAAAGCAACAAGAGUAUAUUCUUCCUUCAAAAUUGAUGUGCUGAUGACGAAUGAGCGUGUAGGAUGAAACUGUGUUGAUUGUAAAUUUGUUUGUUCGAGUUUAUUGAGGGGGAGGGUUGUGUGCAACAACCAUAUCAAAAUUGUUCAGUCCUGCUUUGGACGCGAUUGUUCGUCCUGGUCAUUUUACCAUUCACCUUAUUCUGGUUGGUGACAUUUGGGGAUGAGUCUUCAUGGCCUGAUACUGGUGUAUGAUUGAUUUCAGACUUUUGUUUUGAUUGUAGGUUGUUUUUUCUUUUUUCUUCUAUGUGUUGAUUUUGCAAUCUUCUUUUUCUUCUUCUUCGUCUGGUUAUCGUUUUUUUCUUUUUUCUUUUUUUUCUUUUUUUGUCGUUUGACACCUCUUUUUUUUUCUUUUUGUUUAUCUGUUCAGUUUUGCCUUCUUUCCCAGUGACUUCUGUGGGCUCUUUUUAUUUCAUCCCUUCAGUCGCUUCAUUCCAUCCACUCUUUGCUUCGCUUCUUUUUGUGUUCUCCUGGGUUGUUUCUCCUUUUAUUUUGGGUUCUUCAAUUGAUGAUGUGGAAACGGAAGCGGAAUCGGGAGCAAAAUCAGGAGCGAUAUGCAGAGCAGUUGCGGCGCGGGAAUUUGGUUGUACGCGGCGAGGUACAGCUGGGCAUGAAGGAGAGUCGUGAGGAGUGCCUCCGUCGUGGAGAGGUGUGACUGAUGUCAUGUUCAGCCACCAGCUCGAGAUCUUUUUCUUUUUCCAAAACGGUGCUACCAGAGCCAUGUGAUGACCCCACCGUUCUCGGGAUGAUGUGGCAUCUACGUGGCACCCCUGAGUCUCUGCAUUCGUCAGCAGCGGUGGAGCCCAUGAGUUCUGUGCCGACAUCGCGUGUAUCGCAUCUCCUUCACGCCUCUGCUUCAUCGGAUGGAGCUCCCUGUGCUGGUGCGGGACACGUUGGCUCACGCGAGCUGGUGCCAAGUACGGAGGACUGGACUGCCGCUUUCGAGCGCUGGUAUAUGGGAGAAAUAGAUUUCAACGAUCUUCCACCACUAUCGCACUAAGAUUAUUGCUUCGACAGCAGCGGGGAGGCCGGUUAAUUAAGCUUUUGCGCACUCUCAAAAUUCUGAAUGAUUUGCUGUUCUCAGCUAUGUGAGUGGAAUUCGGAGGUUUCUACUUAAGUAUGGUAACAGUUCGAGUCUGAAGCGUAUUGGUCCAGCUAUCUACAGUUAUCCCAUUCCAUCCGAAUCAUCGGCGAUAGAAAUCGUUUUUUAGAUAGUAUUGUUCUGUAUUUUUAGAAUAAGAGCUGACAGACGCAUACAUAUUCCCUAGAUCUGAAAUUUUCAGAGGUUGCUUUUACCUGAGAUGGUAGAUGUAUAAGGGAAGUCAGCCAAAUUUGUCUAUACAUAAGCGCUGGUGACAACCUCUAACAGUGAAUAAACACUUGUCUUCAAGUCUUGUUGAUAUUGUUAAUUGUCAAAUAGAAUAAUAUGCACCAAAUUGAUAUUCA